rnacentral:rRNA from 1 species
UGGGGAAUAUUGGGCAAUGGGCGCAAGCCUGACCCAGCGACGCCGCGUGGGUGAUGAAGGCCUUCGGGUCGUAAAGCCCUGUCGGGUGGAAAGAACGGUUGCGGGACGAAUAGUCCCGUAACGUGACGGUACCACCGAAGGAAGCACCGGCCAAUUCCGUGCCAGCAGCCGCGGUAAGACGGAAGGUGCAAGCGUUGCUCGGAAUCAUUGGGCGUAAAGGGUGCGUAGGCGGCUCCGUAAGUCUGGUGUGAAAGCCCUGGGCUCAGCCCGGGAAGGGCGCUAGAAACUGGGGAGCUGGAGUGCCGGAGGGGAGAGUGGAAUUCCUGGUGUAGCGGUGAAAUGCGUAGAGAUCAGGAGGAAUACCGGUGGCGAAAGCGACUCUCUGGACGGCAACUGACGCUGAGGCACGAAAGCGUGGGGAGCAAACAG